GACGAACGCUGGCGGCGUGCUUAACACAUGCAAGUCGAACGGAAAGGCCUCUUUCGGGGGGUACUCGAGUGGCGAACGGGUGAGUAACACGUGAGUAACCUGCCCUUGACUUUGGGAUAACUUCAGGAAACUGGGGCUAAUACCGGAUAGGAGCUCCUGCAUGGUGGGGGUUGGAAAGUUUCGGCGGUUGGGGAUGGACUCGCGGCUUAUCAGCUUGUUGGUGGGGUAGUGGCUUACCAAGGCUUUGACGGGUAGCCGGCCUGAGAGGGUGACCGGCCACAUUGGGACUGAGAUACGGCCCAGACUCCUACGGGAGGCAGCAGUGGGGAAUAUUGCACAAUGGGUGGAAGCCUGAUGCAGCAACGCCGUGUGCGGGAUGACGGCCUUCGGGUUGUAAACCGCUUUCGCUCAUGACGAAGCUUUGUGUGACGGUAGUGGGUAAAGAAGCACCGGCUAACUACGUG
rnacentral:rRNA from 1 species